rnacentral:rRNA from 1 species
UGGGGAAUUUUGGACAAUGGGCGAAAGCCUGAUCCAGCCAUGCCGCGUGAGUGAAGAAGGCCUUCGGGUUGUAAAGCUCUUUUAGUCGGAAAGAAAGAGUCGCAAUGAAUAAUUGUGAUUUAUGACGGUACCGACAGAAAAAGCACCGGCUAACUACGUGCCAGCAGCCGCGGUAAUACGUAGGGUGCGAGCGUUAAUCGGAAUUACUGGGCGUAAAGGGUGCGCAGGCGGUUUUGCAAGUCAGAUGUGAAAGCCCCGGGCUUAACCUGGGAAUUGCGUUUGAAACUACAAGGCUAGAGUGCAGCAGAGGGGAGUGGAAUUCCGAUGUGUAGCAGUGAAAUGCGUAGAGAUGUGGAAGAACACCGAUGGCGAAGGCAGCUCCCUGGGUUGACACUGACGCUC